ACCUAGUUGAUCCUGCUAGUAGUCAUAUGCUUGUCUAGUUGUUUCAAAGAUAAAACCAUUUAUGUGUAAGUAUGAAUUAACGCAUACCGUGAAACAACCAAUGACUCAUUAAAUCAAUUAUAGUUUGUUUGAUGGUAUCUUCUACUCGGAUAAUCGCAGUAAUUCUAGAACUAAUACAUGCAACAAACUCCAACUUUUGGAAGGGAUGCAUUUAUUAGAUAAAAGGUCAACGCGGCUUGUUGUUGCAAUGAUUCAUGAUAACUUGACGAAUCGCACGACCUUUUUUCCAGCAACACAUCAUUCAAAUUUCUGCUCUAUCAACUUUUGAUAGUAGGAUAGUUGCCUACAAUGGUGAUGACGGGUGAUGGAGAAUUAGGGUUCGAUUGCAGAGAGAGAGGUUGAAAAAUGGCUACCACAUCCAAGGAAGGCAGCAGAUGUGCAAAUUACCAAAUCUUGACAUGGAGAGAUAGUGACAAUAAAUAACAAUAUCGGACUCUUCGAGUCUGGUAAUUGGAAUGUAAUCCCUUAACGAGGAUUCAUUAAAGGGCAAGUCUAGUGUCUACAGCCGCCGUAAUUCCAGCUCCAAUAGCGUAUAUUUAAGUUGUUGUAGUUAAAAAGCUCGUAGUUAGGUUGGGUUGGCUGGUUCGCCUCACGGUGUGCACCAGUUGUCUUGUUCCUUCUGCUGGCGAUGCACUCCUGACCUUAACUGGCUGUGUCAUUCCUCUGGUGCAGUUACUUUGAAGAAAUUAGAGUGCUCAAAGCAAGCUUACGCACUGGAUUCAUUAGCAUAUGAUAACAUUAUAGGAUUUUGGUCAAAUUGUGUUGGCUUUUGAGAUCGGAGUAAUGAUUAACAUGGACAGUCGAGAAUAUUCGUAUUUCAUAAUCAGAGGUAAAAUUUUUGGAGUUAUGAAAGACGAACAACUGUGAAAGCAUUUGUCAAAAAUAUUUUCAUUAAUUAAUAACAAAAGUUGAGGGUUUGAAGACGAUCAGAUACCGUCCUAAUCUCAACCAUAAAUGAUGUCGAUCAGGGAUCGAUGGAUAUUGCUUUGAAGACUCCACCGACACUUUAUGAGAAAUCAAAGUUUUUGGGUUUUGGGGGGAGUAUGAUUGCAAGGUUGAAACUCAAAGAAAUUGACAGAAGGUCACCACCAGUAGUAGAGCCUGUGCAUAAUUUGACUCAACACGGGUAACCUGGUAAGUGACGGCAUCGACUACCACUUGCAAUAUAUAAUUAUCGCCAUAACGAGAGAUUUGUUGUCACUUUGGAUUAUUUUUGAGAAUUAUUAUUGUCAUUUGAUGACACCUACUAGAAUUCUUGGUAAGGUUUUUUAAAUAAUUGAAAAAUUGAAAUUAAAAUGAACGACCAGCUUGUUGUAGGAGCGCUGAACGAUUCCAAGGUUUCCUGUAUACACUUAAUCUUUCAUUCUUAAUCGGUUUUAAAGUCCCCCCACCCUCUUUUUUUUCUGCAAACUAGGAUGUGACUCUGCAGUUACAUGCCAUUACUAUGUGUCAUACUGACACUGUGUUAAGCAAAUGC